rnacentral:rRNA from 1 species
UGGGGAAUAUUGGACAAUGGGCGAAAGCCUGAUCCAGCCAUGCCGCGUGUGUGAAGAAGGUCUUCGGAUUGUAAAGCACUUUAAGUUGGGGGGAAGGGCAUUAACCUAAUACGUUAGUGUUUUGACGUUACCGACAGAAUAAGCACCGGCUAACUCUGUGCCAGCAGCCGCGGUAAUACAGAGGGUGCAAGCAUUAAUCGGAAUUACUGGGCGUAAAGCGCGCGUAGGUGGUUUGUUAAGUUGGAUGUGAAAUCCCCGGGCUCAACCUGGGAACUGCAUUCAAAACUGACUGACUAGAGUAUGGUAGAGGGUGGUGGAAUUUCCUGUGUAGCGGUGAAAUGCGUAGAUAUAGGAAGGAACACCAGUGGCGAAGGCGACCACCUGGACUAAUACUGACACUGAGGUGCGAAAGCGUGGGGAGCAAACA